rnacentral:misc_RNA from 1 species
UCCGGUUUGACACCGGCAGUCUCCCUAGAGUGCCCGGCAUAACCCGCUGGUAACUAGGGACGAGGGUUGCGCUCGUUGCGGGACUUAACCCAGCAUCUCACGACACGAGCUGACGACAGCCAUGCAGCACCUGUGCAUGGACUCCGAAGAGGGGCUCUCGUUUCUGAGAGCUUGCUCGCGCAUGUCAAGACCUGGUAAGGUUCUUCGCGUUGCUUCGAAUUAAACCACAUGCUCCACCGCUUGUGCGGGCCCCCGUCAAUUCCUUUGAGUUUCAACCUUGCGGUCGUACUCCCCAGGCGGCGAACUUAACGCGUUAGCUUCGACACUGAUCUCCGAGUUGAGACCAACAUCCAGUUCGCAUCGUUUAGGGCGUGGACUAC